AUGUGAUAAACUGUAAUACAUGAUGAGUGAAUUAGAGAUAUAUGAAAUCUGUACUAUGUAAGUCUGAGGCAGGAGAGGUCAUAUAGAAACAUUAACUACUAUGAAUGAAUUAUUACAAGUCCCUCCUCUCUACACAAAUAACUGAAUCUACUUAUCAGAGAAAAGUAAAGUGCUUGCAGAUCACUGAACUCUAAUCUAGUGGCUUUUAAAUCCAUACUCUAUUUUUCAGUUCCUGAGCCCAUGUUCUAAUGAUGAAUUGUGAAAAACCAGAGAAAAGGAUGAUGUAACUCCAGAAAGUUAAUAUUUACUUUUUUUUAUUUUUAAGGAACACAAAGUUCUACAAAAUGACUUUUCAAUGACCAGUGAUGUGAAACCAUCUUCCUUCUCUGUCUUAGCUCACUACCAUAAUCUAUGUCAAGGACCUGUGGUCUCAUUGAAUGACACUGGUAACUCAGUUUUAUACUCCAGACCAAGAAGAAUGAGGACCACAUUUUUUCAUAUUUUUCUACCUGUAUUUUUGAUGAUUAAAAAAAUCUCUUCAGCCUAUUCAGCCUGGAUCUAAAAUAUUUGCUCUUCACAAAGCCACAGAUAUACAGAAUGAGGCAAAAAGAUGAAUAUGACCAUGCCUUUGGAUGAAUGGAAAUAUGAGUUUAGACCACUAUCAUCUACCACCACCACUGUCAAACUUUGCAUUUCUUUGGUCCUUCAGAAAAUGGAUUUAGUGAUGAACAUCAAGUUGGUAAUUAAGUGUAAGCCUACAUCUUAAGAAUAAUAAAUCCAUUCAAAAUUACCUUUUGUAGAAUCAUCUUCUAUUGGCUGCUUGAAC